GAUGAACGCUGGCGGCGUGCCUAAUACAUGCAAGUCGAGCGAACAGAUGAGGAGCUUGCUCCUCUGACGUUAGCGGCGGACGGGUGAGUAACACGUGGAUAACCUACCUAUAAGACUGGGAUAACUUCGGGAAACCGGCGCUAAUACCGGAUAAUCUAUUGAACCGCAUGGUUCAAUAGUGAAAGACGGUUUUGCUGUCACUUAUAGCUGGAUCCGCGCCGCAUUAGCUAGUUGGUAAGGUAACGGCUUACCAAGGCAACGAUGCGUAGCCGACCUGAGAGGGUGAUAGGCCACACUGGAACUGAGACACGGUCCAGACUCCUACGGGAGGCAGCAGUAGGGAAUCUUCCGCAAUGGGCGAAAGCCUGACGGAGCAACGCCGCGUGAGUGAUGAAGGUCUUCGGAUCGUAAAACUCUGUUAUUAGGGAAGAACAAAUGUGUAAGUAACUAUGCACGUCUUGACGGUACCUAAUCAGAAAGCCACGGCUAACUACGUG
rnacentral:rRNA from 1 species